GACGAACGCUGGCGGCGUGCUUAACACAUGCAAGUCGAGCGGUAAGGCCCUUUCGGGGGGUACACGAGCGGCGAACGGGUGAGUAACACGUGGGUGACCUGCCCUCAGCUCUGGGAUAAGCCUGGGAAACCGGGUCUAAUACUGGAUAUGACUCCAUGACGCAUGUUGUGGGGUGGAAAGCCUUGUGCGGCUGAGGAUGGGCCCGCGGCCUAUCAGCUUGUUGGUGGGGUGANGGCCUACCAAGGCGACGACGGGUAGCCGGCCUGAGAGGGCGACCGGCCACACUGGGACUGAGACACGGCCCAGACUCCUACGGGAGGCAGCAGUGGGGAAUCUUGCGCAAUGGGCGAAAGCCUGACGCAGCGACGCCGCGUGAGGGAUGACGGCCUGG
rnacentral:rRNA from 1 species